rnacentral:rRNA from 1 species
AUUGAACGCUGGCGGCAGGCCUAACACAUGCAAGUCGAGCGGAGUGGCGGACGGGUGAGUAAUGCCUAGGAAUGUGCCCGGUAGUGGGGGAUAACGCCGGGAAAGGGGAGCUAAUACCGCAUACUAUUAGAACGGCCUAUGUCGGAUUAGCUAGUUGGUGGGGUAAAGGCUCACCAAGGCGACGAUCCGUAGCUGGUUUGAGAGGAUGAUCAGUCACACUGGAACUGAGACACGGUCCAGACUCCUACGGGAGGCAGCAGUGGGGAAUAUUGGACAAUGGGCGAAAGCCUGAUCCAGCCAUGCCGCGUGUGUGAAGAAGGUCUUCGGGUUGUAAAGCACUUUAGGUAGGGAGGCGUUACCAGCAGAAUAAGCACCGGCUAACUCCGUGCCAGCAGCCGCGGUAAUAC